CCUACGGGCGGCAGCAGUGAGGAAUAUUGGUCAAUGGACGAGAGUCUGAACCAGCCACGUAGCGUGAAGGAUGACUGCCCUAUGGGUUGUAAACUUCUUUUAUAUGGGAAUAAAACGUUCCAAGUGUGGGAUUUUGUAUGUACCAUAUGAAUAAGGAUCGGCUAACGCCGUGCCAGCAGCCGCGGUAAUACGGAGGAUCCGAGCGUAAUCCGGAUUUAUUGGGGUGGAAGGAAGCGUAGGUGGAUUGUUAAGUCAGUUGUGAAAGUCUGCGGCUCAACCGUAAAAUUGCAGUUGAAACUGGCAGUCUUGAGUACAGUAGAGGUGGGCGGAAUUCGUGGUGUAGCGGUGAAAUGCUUAGAUAUCACGAAGAACUCCGAUUGCGAAGGCAGUUCACUGGACUGCAACUGACACUGAGGCUCGAAAGUGUGGGUAUCAAACAGGAUUAGAUACCCGAGUAGUC
rnacentral:rRNA from 1 species